UACAGAGGUCCCAAGCGUUGUUCGGAUUCACUGGGCGUAAAGGGUGCGCAGGUGGUCGGGUAAGUCUGACGUGAAAUCCCGCAGCUUAACUGCGGAAUGGCAUUGGAUACUAUUCGGCUAGAGGGUUGGAGGGGGGACUGGAAUUCUCGGUGUAGCAGUAAAAUGCGUAGAUAUCGAGAGGAACACCAGUGGCGAAGGCGAGUCCCUGGACAACUCCUGACGCUGAGGCGCGAAAGCUAGGGGAGCAAACGGG
rnacentral:rRNA from 1 species